AGCAGGCAGUGAGUCAUAGCCAGAGCAGCACCUUGGAUUACUGUCGCGUGUCUCCUGCAAAGGGUCCAAGUCCUAUUGCAGCUCUUCCGAACAUUCCACCCAGCAUCCUGGUCAGGGUGUGUGGAGGCGCGGAGGCCCCUGCGGAGGCUGUAGCCACAGCAGCUACAUCCUUGCUGCAUGUGGAGCUGAGAAGGAGAGGUACCAAGCAGACUGGCCCGUGACCGGAGUGGGGACCCUUCAGUUGGGCGUCCGGGGACCACGUAGCGCCUUGCCCCUCUACGAACUCUGCAUCCUGCCGUCAAGGACUCUCAGCGGGCAGCAGUCGUCUGAAAGGACAAUGUGCUGCUUUUACGACUGAGAUCUGAUAAUGAGACCGUGGAGCCUUUAAUUUAUGAUGUAUCUGACAGCCUUGCGGUGGAUCUGAUUUGGCAUGCAUGUGAUUAUGUCUGCAAGCUGAAAAUAAACCAGCUGGUAUUUGUUCUGAAAACGUUCUGAGAACACCUUCCUGUUAAUGGCCCAUGGCUUGAUCCAGCAUCUGGUAAACUAAUACACUGUCAUUUUUUUUUUUUUUUUCAUAAAAGUCAGCUCAAAUCAUUAAUGAUUCCAUAGCCAUUUGCAAUCUUCUCUUGUCUAGAAUAUGCCAAUUACCAUGAAAUUAUUCCUAUUAGCUACAUGAUUGAAUGAUAGUAACCUGACUAUAACUUGUUGGCAGAAAUUCUCUCAUAAUGACAAUAAUGAACUGUGCAGUUGAGUCCUUGCUGGGCUAUGUUAAACAGGGAGGUUGGAUAUUAUACAUUUCUAACCUAUCAUGAACAAUACUUCUUAAUGACUGUGUGAAUUGGAGGAAAUGUGAUAUUUUUAGUUUUGUGUGAAUGGGAAUUUUCUGUUUUUGUUUAAUUUGUUUGGGGAAGGAAUCACUGCAUGCCAUUAAAAAUGAUGUUCAGAGACCGUUUUUGACGUGUGCAUAUUUAUGAUCAUUGCCAAUACAUGGAACCUAAUAGGAUCAUGCUCUCAUGUGAGCGAUGUCUGAUUUUUAAGUAAGAUCUUCCAUAUGUAAUUAUCACUAAAGUAAUACCAUCAGUCUAAGUGAUCCUAAGAAAAAACCGGAAAGUCCAAUGCUGCCAUGAGAUGGAUAAAUUAAUUUACAUGUCUCUUUGCCUACUCUAGAUCUGUAAGGCCAGAUCUGACCUGCACAGCUGAAAACACAGUGUUAGGAAGAUGAUGGUCAAAAUACGUAAGAGGGGGCCUUGAGAAGGCCCAAGCAGCCUUCUGAAAGUUCCUGGUCGGGCUUCUGUGUGAGAGUGGAACAGAUUCAUUCUGUUCUCCAAAGAUCUAAAGAAGUUCAUUGAACAUACCGGGCACUUCCUGUGGCCCAUCUCAGUCCUUUGAUCUCCGUUUUGUCUCUGGGCCGUAUCCUAGG
rnacentral:lncRNA from 1 species